rnacentral:rRNA from 1 species
UACGUAGGCAGCGAGCGUUGUUCGGAAUUACUGGGCGUAAAGAGUGUGUAGGCGGCGCUCUAAGUUCGGUGUGAAAUCUCUCGGCUUAACUGGGAGGGUGCGCCGGAAACUGGAGUGCUCGAACGUGGGAGAGGAAAGCGGAAUUCCUGGUGUAGCGGUGAAAUGCGUAGAUAUCAGGAGGAACACCUGUGGCGAAAGCGGCGCACUGGACCAUAACUGACGCUGAUGCGCGAAAGCUAGGGGAGCAAACAGG